GAUGACAGUCAUAAGAGUCUGCCUUAUUUCAUGUUGAUAGUUUAUAGAUUGUCUCAACUUUUUUCCUUUUUUUUUUUUAAAGCAAAAUUCUAACUCCCAUUUGUUGGCUUCGGUGUAUUAAGUGACUAGACACGAGUCCUCUGUGACUAGAGUCUGGGUUACCUGCACCUCACUUGAACCUGGCUGCUUUGCUGUUCUCCACGUAGGACUUGAGGUAAUGGAACCAGCAGGGAAGUGGACUGCCCCCCUGGCUUUGGUGGGAGACUUCUGACUGCCACUCUCCUGUCAUGUCGCGCUCGUAGCUCUCCAAAGCCAACACCUUGGGCAAGAGCCCGGCAUUGUUCCUUGUGACACUUCCCAGGAAGGCUGUUAACCACCCAACAACCAGCCAGCAGGCUCUGUGGCUUUUUUUUUAACUUGUUUUUUUAUUAAAUUAGGACCCAACACCAGUUUGUUUACUUCAGCUAGAAUAUUGAUCUGCUCAUAAAGUUGAUAGAUGUUUUGAAUAAUUUAGCCAGGAUGAACCCACAGAAUCCUCCUGAAUCUUUUAACUGCUGAGGGAUGUUCUAUCAUUAGCUUAAUUGGAGAUGCAGUUAGGCCCCUUGAAUGUUUAAACACUUAUAAUAGGUGUUAAUGGACAUUUUAAUUUCUUAUCUCCCCCCUCCCCAAUAGCUUCCUGAAAUGGAUGCCUUCAUGGGAUUAACCAGGCAUGAAAAUGAAGUAUAUUGGAGGAAGUAUGUGUGUGAGAGUGUGCUCAGGAGAGAAGACUGGAGCUUGUAGGAAGAUCAGUUCAAGCUUUCCUUUCACAUUAGCACAAGCCAGUGAUGGUGCAUAGGACAGGGAUGCUAGCCAGCUCUUGGCCAUCUUAGGGGAAAGUUGUUAGUCUGGUAGAUUGGUCAGUGUAACGUUGAGGGAAAGCAGGAGUGGGGAGGGGGGUGAGUUUUAGGAGCUGCAAGGUGACAUUUGUAACUUUUGGACUGUUAGCAUUGGCUCUGUUCUGUGGCCCGCUCAGAGGUUGAGGGAAGCUGUAGUGUGGAAGCUUAGAGCUGUGUGUGUGAAUCUCCUGGGAGAGGUGCUCACUGGCUGGGGUCUCUUAUCCUGAGGUCAGAGCCCCUCUCCCUGGCCUGGCUCCUUGAAGCGACUAGGGUGCCAGCUCCAGAUAUCUGGGACAUUUUUACUAAGUUGUAGCAAGAUUUUCCUAAAAUAUGACCAGAUGUUGGAAAUUGAGGUCAUGAGUAUGCGAUUCUGAAGUUUCUGUAAAACGUCAACGUCAGCAAUUGGACAUGAAGGGAAUUGUAUGGCUAUUUCUUAACACCUACUAGAGGGCUGGAACUUUGUACCCAACCACCCAAUUUAGCACUCCCUCCCAGUGCUUUCUGAUGCCUUAGAAAUAGGAGAAAUGGUUCUGUUCUUGUUGACAAGCUAGUGAAGAACAAGUUCACAAGGUAGUUAAUUCCACCAGACACAUCUGCCUCUCAGGAAAAAGUACUCGCUUGUUCUUUUUGUCCCUGGUUUUCAGUUUGUGAGAUUACUCUAUUUUUUUAAAUAUAAUUUUAUUUCUUUCAACGAAUUUAAAAAUAAAAGAAAAGCCUUUGAACAAUGA